UUUGGGUGCCAGAGCAGAGGAAGAAGGCAGAACGUUUGCGUUUCAGUCCUUAUCUUUGCAAGUGCAAGGCAGACAGCCAUUUGGUUGUGAGGUCUCUGGAAAGUUUUGGAAAAUAUGCCCCAUGGAGCACAUUCUGGUUCGUCUGGAAACUGAUUCUCGACCUGUGUCUCGGCGCCUGGUGAGCCUCAUCUUUAAUUCUUUCCUGCCUGUGAAUCAGCCGGAGGAGGUCUGGUGCGAGCGCUGUGUCACCCUGGUGCAGAUGAACCACGCUGCUGCCAGGAGGUUCUAUCAGUACGCCCACGAACACACCGCCUGCACCAACAUAGCAAAGCUGAUUCACGUUAUUCGUCAUUGCUUAAAUGCCUGUAUCCAGAGGGCAGUGAGAGAGCCUCCAGAGGAUGAGGAGGAAGAGGACGGAAGGGAGAAGGAGAAUGUGACUGUUCUGGACAAAACACUGUCAGUAAACGAUGUUGCAUGCAUGGCAGGUUUACUAGAAAUCAUUGUGAUUCUCUGGAAAAGUAUUGACAGAAGUAUGGAAAAUAAUAAAGAGGCCAAACUUUACACCAUUAACAAGUUUGCCU
rnacentral:sRNA from 1 species